rnacentral:rRNA from 1 species
UACGUGGGGUGCGAUCGUUGUCCGGAUUUAUUGGGCGUAAAGAGUUCGUAGGCGGUCCGGUAAGUCACUUUUCAAAGACUUCGGCUCAACCGAGGGAAGGGGAGUGAUACUGUCGGACUUGGAAAAUUGAGGGGUUGUCGGAACUGUCGGUGUAGGGGUGAAAUCCGUUGAUAUCGAUAGGAACGCCAAGGGCGAAGGCAGACAACUGGUGAUUUUUCGACGCUGAGGAACGAAAGCCAGGGGAGCGAAUCGG